GCGCUCCCCGCCGGGGUUGCUGCGGUGGCUGCUCGCCGCCGCGCGUGAGCCGCCGCGCGUGAGUAGGGCGCCCCUGUUGGGUGCGCGC
rnacentral:tRNA from 1 species